AUUGAACGCUGGCGGCAGGCUUAACACAUGCAAGUCGAGCGGAGAUGAGGUGCUUGCACCUUAUCUUAGCGGCGGACGGGUGAGUAAUGCUUAGGAAUCUGCCUAUUAGUGGGGGACAACAUUCCGAAAGGAAUGCUAAUACCGCAUACGCCCUACGGGGGAAAGCAGGGGAUCUUCGGACCUUGCGCUAAUAGAUGAGCCUAAGUCGGAUUAGCUAGUUGGUGGGGUAAAGGCCUACCAAGGCGACGAUCUGUAGCGGGUCUGAGAGGAUGAUCCGCCACACUGGGACUGGGACACGGCCCAGACUCCUACGGGAGGCAGCAGUGGGGAAUAUUGGACAAUGGGCGGAAGCCUGAUCUAGCCAUGCCGCGUGUGUGAAGAAGGCCUUUUGGUUGUAAAGCACUUUAAGCGAGGAGGAGGCUUCUUGGAUUAAUACUCUAGGAUAGUGGACGUUACUCGCAGAAUAAGCACCGGCUAACUCUGUGCCAGCAGCCGCCGUAAGAC
rnacentral:rRNA from 1 species